rnacentral:lncRNA from 2 species
GAAGGGAGAGGGAGAAAAGGGGAGAGAAAAGGUGAAGAGCCUGCGAGGUCAAGCUGCAGAGAACAUGAGCUUCUACCUCCAGAUGUGCCAGGGUGCAUCUC